rnacentral:rRNA from 1 species
UACGUAGGGGCAGCAGUGUUCGGAUUCGAUUGUGGCGUAAAGAGCGUGUAGGCGGCCAGAUAGGUCAGCUGUGAAAACUCGAGGCUCAACCUCGAGAUGUCGGCUGAAACCAUCUGGCUAGAGUCCGGAAGAGGAGAAUGGAAUUCCCGGUGUAGCAGUGAAAUGCGUAGAUAUCAAGUGGAACACCAGUGGCGAAGGCGAGUCUCUGGACAUUUCCUGACGCUGAGGCACGAAAGCCAGGGGAGCAAACGGG